GGCUCGGUAGCGGAGGGUCCGCAUCUGCUUCUAUUGACGAGGCCUGUAAACAAAAAUUGAUGCAGACAAAGUCCGUUCGAUUCGGGCUCGAGCCA